UGCUUAGUUCGGCCAAGCCCUGCUUAUUCUAACCAGUGGGAACUUGAUGGCCAGAGAGAGUUCUAAGAUGGGAAGACCCAGGAGCAAUGAACACCAAGCUUAGAAUGUCACAGAGUAAGCAGGAGGCAGUAUCCCUGGGAGAGGCCAAAGUCAAGUUGUUUCUUUGAUUACCAAGCCCAAAGAGGAAGGUUACCAUUUACUGCUGGCACUGAAAGCAAGUCCAGCAGAGUUUAAAGCAUGAGAAAGCAGGGCAAGAGGCAGAUUCCAAGUUCCAUGGGUACCAUUCUGAUACCCAGUGGGUGGAAGAUGCUGCUGAUCUAUUUUGCUUGAGAUAUGAAAGUGCUUUUGCCCUACUUUCUUCUGAGUUGCCCUUGUCUGACCUCAAAGACACACACUGUUCCAUGGUAACCAGCAUCUUAGGUUAGAUCCCUUAAGUCAUGUGCCUUCCUCCAUGCCAGCCAGCUUCCUGCUUGGGCUCUGGGCUCCACAGAGAUGAGGCUGGGAUCCUAGUCUAAAGGAGGAGGUUAAACAAAGAGGAGCUAAGAAACUAGGCCACAGCUUUUGUCCAUCAGAUGUGUGUUGUUUGAACCAAAGAGCUCCUGGUUUGACUCCUUUUAUGAAGAAGGAAGGACAUCAGUCUCUGCUUCCACAUACCCUGGCACCGGGCCUUCCACCAGCAAUCCCAUGGAAGUAUUUCCCACUGUGCUAAGUUUUGUUUGAGGAGAGCCAAGGCCUUGACUCACCAGCUUCUAAAGGAUUUGGUCAAGCAGUGAUGCAGGGUGUUAAGUUCCUACCCACUGCCUCGAGUUUGCUGGCUUUCCAGACAACUCAGGGGGCUUGACACGUCACCAGUCUGGAGCACUCCCAUGUGGUCUGGAAAGGAAUGCAUCUGAGAGGAGCUGAAACAGAAAAAUUGGUCAUGGAACACUUAGUAGUUUUGUUUUGAUCUUGGCCAUCCCAAUAAGGAAAAUCGCUCAUUAAAGUUUUUGUUACGCUUUAAACUAGACUUCCAUUCUGGAAGAGGAGGGUGCAGGCAGGUGUUCUUACAAAUGGCCCAGUGCUGGAGGAGGCGGCCUGGUGGGUGGAUCACCAACAAAAGGAUCAGGUCCUGUUAAUUUCUCUGCAACAGGCAAUCUGCACAUCUGGCAACACUAGCUGACACCUUUGAGGGCUCUUUCUGCUCAGAUUUGAAAAUGGAAAUUUGGAUUUCUGCAUCUUUUCUGUGAUGACCCAGGUAGCCCCAGUGAGGUGGACCUUGCCAAAUGCAAAGAUACUUCUUGAAAGACAUAAUAAAGACAUCACAUACAUAAUAAAGACAUCACAAAGAUGAUUCUGGAGUUACUUGAUGUCAGCUUAGCUUGGGU
rnacentral:lncRNA from 1 species